rnacentral:misc_RNA from 1 species
AACGCACAUUGCGCCCGCCAGUAUUCUGGCGGGCAUGCCUGUUCGAGCGUCAUUUCAACCCUCGGACCCCCGUGGCCUCGCGCCCCGGGGGACCGGUGUUGGGGAUCGGGCUGCCCUCGUAGGCGGUCCGCCCCCUAAAUACAGUGGCGGGCCCGCCGCGGCCUCCCCUGCGUAGUAGCACACCUCGCAGGCGGAGCGCGGCGCGUCCCAGCCGUAAAACCCCCCAAAUUUUACAAGGUUGACCUCGAAUCAGGUAGGAAUACCCGCUGAACUUAA